AACAUAAUAGUUUAAUUAAAAACGUUGGGUUUGCGUCUCAAAAAUGGAUGUAGUUCUUUUGUUA
rnacentral:tRNA from 1 species